CGUGCAAUUUUUUUAAAAAUAACAAUAAGGUAGUUCUAAAAUGUUAUACUGCAAUUAGCUAGUUUCUUAAUUUCAUUCGUUUAAUGUUUAUAAAUUCAACUUGUCCGUUUGGUCGAAUUUUAUUAUACCCAAAAAUGCAUAUAUAUCUUUGCGAGUAGUGAUCAGGCGAUGGAACUUGCACGAAGCAAAAACGCAGAUAAAUUGAAUUCUGUAAAACGGGGAUGAAACUAAGCACGCGAUUGGUUACAGCGUCGCAGACAUCGAAUUUAACGCAUCUGAUUGGCGUUUGUCUACGUCAUCAGUGCUUCAUGUGGUAGCAAUCGCAAUUUUGCGACAAGCCUGAGAGGCGUUUUGUUCAUUAUAAGUUCAUAAAGUUUCGAGGUGGAAGGACGUGUUUUCGCGUCUCUUAAAUUCAACUUAUCGAGCUAUUAGUUUUAAUUUGUUCUUCGUCUGAAAGAUUAGUUAACAACUGUGAGAGAUUGGAACUGAUAUCCUUUGCUUACUGAAAAGAUAAGUCGUCUCCUAUGGUGUUUUAGCUGUUAAUUUUUCAUCUUGGAGGCUCUUGUAGUUAAUUAAGGAACAUUAGAAGAACUCCGGAUAACAUUAAAUUAUGAAAUUAUGGAGCAUUGGUUGUAUUAGUCCUAAUUUGCCCCGGAAAGUAGCUGAUU
rnacentral:lncRNA from 1 species